AGAGUUUGAUCAUGGCUCAGAACGAACGUUGGCAGCGUGGAUUAGGCAUGCAAGUUGAGCGAAUCCCCGUAAGGGGGGAAGCAGCGUAAGGGGCAGUAAGGCAUGGAUAACCUACCCUGGGGUUUGGGAUAGCCCGUAGAAAUACGGGGUAAUACCGAGCGACGUGUCUGGAUGGCAUCAUCCGGCCACCAAAGGUCAGCCGCCCUGGGAAGGGUCCAUGUGGUAUUAGCUAGUUGGUGGGGUAACGGCCCACCAAGGCUAAGAUGCCUAGCGGGUGUGAGAGCACGACCCGCGCCACUGGCACUGCGAAACUGGCCAGACUCCUGCGGGAGGCUGCAGUGGAGGAUCUUCGGCAAUGGGCGAAAGCCUGACCGAGCGACGCCGCGUGCGCGACGAAGGCCUUCGGGUUGUAAAGCGCGAAGGGGGAGAGGAAGGGCAACUUGACCGAUCCCCAGUAAGCACGGGCUAGGUUCGUGCCAGCCGCCGCGGUAAUUC
rnacentral:rRNA from 1 species